rnacentral:rRNA from 1 species
UUAACACAUGCAAGUCGAGGGGCAGCAUGGUCUUAGCUUGCUAAGGCCGAUGGCGACCGGCGCACGGGUGAGUAACACGUAUCCAACCUGCCGUCUACUCCUGGACAGCCUUCUGAAAGGAAGAUUAAUACAAGAUGGCAUCAUGAGUCCACAUGUUCACAUGAUUAAAGGUAUUCCGGUAGACGAUGGGGAUGCGUUCCAUUAGAUAGUAGGCGGGGUAACGGCCCACCUAGUCUUCGAUGGAUAGGGGUUCUGAGAGGAAGGUCCCCCACAUUGGAACUGAGACACGGUCCAAACUCCUACGGGAGGCAGCAGUGAGGAAUAUUGGUCAAUGGGCGAGAGCCUGAACCAGCCAAGUAGCGUGAAGGAUGACUGCCCUAUGGGUUGUAAACUUCUUUUAUAAAGGAAUAAAGUCGGGUAUGCAUACCCGUUUGCAUGUACUUUAUGAAUAAGGAUCGGCUAACUCCGUGCCAGCAGCCGCGGUAAUACGGAGGAUCCGAGCGUUAUCCGGAUUUAUUGGGUUUAAAGGGAGCGUAGAUGGAUGUUUAAGUCAGUUGUGAAAGUUUGCGGCUCAACCGUAAAAUUGCAGUUGAUACUGGAUAUCUUGAGUGCAGUUGAGGCAGGCGGAAUUCGUGGUGUAGCGGUGAAAUGCUUAGAUAUCACGAAGAACUCCGAUUGCGAAGGCAGCCUGCUAAGCUGCAACUGACAUUGAGGCUCGAAAGUGUGGGUAUCAAACAGGAUUAGAUACCCUGGUAGUCCACACGGUAAACGAUGAAUACUCGCUGUUUGCGAUAUACAGCAAGCGGCCAAGCGAAAGCGUUAAGUAUUCCACCUGGGGAGUACGCCGGCAACGGUGAAACUCAAAGGAAUUGACGGGGGCCCGCACAAGCGGAGGAACAUGUGGUUUAAUUCGAUGAUACGCGAGGAACCUUACCCGGGCUUAAAUUGCAGAUGAAUUACGGUGAAAGCCGUAAGCCGCAAGGCAUCUGUGAAGGUGCUGCAUGGUUGUCGUCAGCUCGUGCCGUGAGGUGUCGGCUUAAGUGCCAUAACGAGCGCAACCCUUGUUGUCAGUUACUAACAGGUCAUGCUGAGGACUCUGACAAGACUGCCAUCGUAAGAUGUGAGGAAGGUGGGGAUGACGUCAAAUCAGCACGGCCCUUACGUCCGGGGCUACACACGUGUUACAAUGGGGGGUACAGAGGGCCGCUACCACGCGAGUGGAUGCCAAUCCCAAAAACCUCUCUCAGUUCGGACUGGAGUCUGCAACCCGACUCCACGAAGCUGGAUUCGCUAGUAAUCGCGCAUCAGCCACGGCGCGGUGAAUACGUUCCCGGGCCUUGUACACACCGCCCGUCAAGCCAUGGGAGCCGGGGGUACCUGAAGUGCGUAACCGCGAGGAGCGCCCUAGGGUAAAACUGGUGACUGGGGCUAAG